CAUACUGAAUACAUAGGUAUGCGAGGCGAACCGGGUGAACUGAAACAUCUCAGUAGCUCGAGGAAAAGACAUCAACCGAGAUUCCGAAAGUAGUGGCGAGCGAAAUCGGAAGAGCCUUCUAGUAAUAGCACGACUGUUAGCAAAAUGGGAUGGAAAGCCCAGCCAUAGCAGGUGAUAGCCCUGUAUGCGAAAAUAGACGUGUGGUACUAAGCUAGAGAAAAGUAGGGCGGGGCACGAGAAACCUUGUCUGAAUAUGGGGGGACCAUCCUCCAAGGCUAAAUACUCGUAAUCGACCGAUAGUGAACCAGUACCGUGA
rnacentral:rRNA from 1 species